ensembl:lncRNA
GCCGUGCUUUCUUCCUCCUUGGAGGACUAGAAAGUACUGUAGCUUUACCAGAGAAGGGGAAUCUGAAUCCUGGGACUAGAGUGAAGAGGCAUUUGCUGCUGCUGCUGCUGCUACCUGGCUUCAACAAAGAGAAUUUCCAGACAUAUUAUUCAUCGGUUUGGUGGUAGAGCAAGGAAUGCCAGGUGGCCUGGACCAGACAGACUGCUGCUCUUGAUGACAAGAAUGACCCGAGGACAGUUCUAAUGAUGAAGUGGUGACCACCAGGAGAAGUGGGAAGUUUAUAGCUGGGAUGCUGCGAUUUUUCUUUUCUGGGGAUGUCAUCAUCGGAGUUCCAACCCCUGUGACUGUCAGAAGUUUGGAGGGGUUGGAAGAAGAACAACUGAUGUUCUAUCCUGUGCCAGUUGCUCACCUAACCAAAGACAGCUGGAGGAUACUUUAUUGACUCUGUUCUGGGGAAGGGGAAUAGGGUUCGUCUUUGGUAGCACUUCCUCUACCUUCUCUUUUUAUCCUCUUUUAAGUCUCCAGUAUUGCUCUUGUAAUCAUGGGAAAUUGGGGAGGAUUUGAAUUGACAGCCCUUAAUUCUGUGGCUCAAAGUCACUAUGGAACAUGAAGCAAAAGUAUGGCCUCAUUUGUUCCUUGCUGCAAAAUGCAGAAAACAGACAACAGAAAGUUCUUAUUAUACAUUUAUAAUCCAGGCACUGAGAGGCUAACUUAAGUCUUUUGUUCUCAGCCCACUGACCCCCUGGCCUCAUAUGGGCCAUGUGCCUUCCUCUGGCCCAAUCAACUAUGAUUUGGACAUGGAGCCACGGAGUAUCAGUGGAACAGGCCCCAUUGUCAUAGUAGGGCAAAGUCAGUGGAGGUGACUGACAAGAGAGGAGCCAGGAAAGAUAUUGGAAUCCUUAUCACAGGUGUUCUCCCAGGAAGUGUGUGAGAUUUUUCUCAAAUACUUACAGGAUAUGGGUUAAAACUGGAAGAUGUGCUGAUAAGCAGGGUCUCUUGGCUUCUUCAAACAGCCCUGAGACUCUACCUUCUGGAGGAUUUUACAUAGCUAAGUUUGCCCCCAGAGAAGAAAUGCAUGAAUUGAUAGGUGCUCCAUAGCUGCUGUGUUUGUUCCUUUAUGUUAGGAGAAAACCACACCCAUGUCAGGAAUUAUAUGGUUCAGUGGCCGAUGUUUGUGUGCCCAUCUGUCGAUUAAUAAUGAGCAUCCAAUAGCUAAAGUUUUAUAAGUAUAAAUUAAAAUGUAUUCACACCCUGUCUAAGCCAGUCUGACAAGUGGAACAAAAGUAUAACAAAAGAAAAAGCAGCCAGAACAUUCUCCCCCUGCUAGUAAAUGUACAGAUAAUAAAAUAUAUUGGGUGUGGUGGCCUACACCUUUAAUCCCUGCACUUGGGAGGCAGAGGCAGGAGGAUCUCUGUGAGUCCAAGGCCAGCCUGGUUCCAGGACAGCCAGAGCUAAACAGAGAAAUCCUAUCUUGAAAAAAAUAAAUAAAAAUGAAUAAAUAAAUAUAAAAAUAAAUAAAG